rnacentral:rRNA from 1 species
UACAGAGGGGGCAAGCGUUGUUCGGAAUUAUUGGGCGUAAAGGGCGCGUAGGCGGCCUGUUAAGUCGAACGUGAAAUCCCCGGGCUCAACCCGGGAACUGCGUCCGAUACUGGCAGGCUUGAAUUCGGGAGAGGGAUGCGGAAUUCCAGGUGUAGCGGUGAAAUGCGUAGAUAUCUGGAGGAACACCGGUGGCGAAGGCGGCAUCCUGGACCGAGAUUGACGCUGAUGCGCGAAAGCCAGGGGAGCAAACGGG